ensembl:lncRNA
AAUGCCUCACUUCUAAGCUUUGCCCUCCUGCUUACUCGGGGUGACAGAAACCCCAGAGACAUCCUUGGGAAAGCCCAGGGGGGCCUCCCUGCCCCUUGGCAUGGGGAGACAGUAAAGAAAGCUAAGACCUCGAUGAGUGCCAUGAAAACAGAAAAUACUCACUUACCUCUGAGUCCAGCUGCCAGCUUCCCAGGAAGACACUGGUGACUUUGAGGAAAUCAAUUUAGUUUCCUGGCAAUUCCAGGCAGACUGUACUCCAGCUUCUGUAGAAUCCUCCUGUUACUCUUGUACAAAUAACUAUGAUUUUUGGCAGUUGCAAAAGAAAAAAAAAGCAUCCUGAGGGGGUAUGCCCAACAGUACUGUAGGUGGAGGAUAAACUUGCUGGUAGCAGGAGAUAAGGGAAGUCACAAAGCCCAAGUGCCAGGGCCCAUGGCAGGACAGCCUGCAGGGCCAGGGCCAGGCUGCCCAGGAGCCCCAAGGAGGGGACAUGGGUAGCCAGUACUGGGAUCCCAGCCAAGUGUAGAAGCUGGGGCAUUCAGAUAUGGUUAUUUGGUCAUGGAGGGACUUUCAGAUUGGUCAAGUGGGAAAGUUGUCAUGAUCAUGUUGAAGCUGGUUGAAUUCUCCAUUGUCCCUGGAGGUGUCUGCCCAGAUAUUCAGGCCAUCCUCUUGCUCAUCCCUUCUCUGUGCCCAUGGCUGGAGUCCUGGGAGUGUGUUCUCCCUGGAAGCCUGAAUGGAGCUGCACUUAGAAUCUUCACUCCUGAGAAAGGCCCUCAUGUUCGUUCUUAUUCUUCGUUCUGACUCACUCAAAGCCUGGAUAUGUUCCUGAAGAGUUUUGAUGGGAGAAAAGCUACUUAGUUCUUCUCUGAGGGUGGAGUGUUUGCCUUAACUCAGCAGACAGGUACUGAGGACUACAACAUGCUCUUGUGUGCAUUCCUCUUUUUGGUAAGCAAGUUUCCCCCUCUUAUAUGUAGAUGCAAGGAUUAUGCCUGCUCAUUUACCUCAUCCUGUGAAUUGCUUUAACCAGGCAAUGGCGCUGCCUAAAACCCAACCCACUUGUCCUUAUGAGUCAGAAAGGAGGAAUCAGUCUAGAGAGAGCUUCUCUUAGCCACUGUGGAAAACAAUAGGAGACUUCUCAAAAACUAAAAGUGAAAUGACUAUAUGGUCCAGCCAUCUCACUGGAGUAGUCCACCGAAUACUCCAAAGGAAAUGCAAUCAGUAUGUUGAGAAACAUCUGCACUCCUAUGUUCGCUGCAGCACUGUUUGUGGUUGUCAACAAAUGAGAGUAACCUGAGUGUCCACCAACAGAUGAGUGGAUGAAGAAAACGUGGCAUCUGCAUGCAAUAGAGUACCAUUGAGCCAUGAAAAGAAUUAAGUCCUCUCAUUUACAACAAUAUGGAUGGAACUAGAGAUUGUUAAGUGAAAUAGAUAAGGCACUGCAAGACAAGUCAUGCGUGAUCUCUCAGAUAUGAGAUCCAAAAGUUGAUCUCCUGGAAGUUAAGAGAAUAAUGGUUCACCAGAGGCUGAAGAGAGUCAGAGGGAGGAAAGGUUAGAGGCUGGGGAAAGGCUGACAGAAGGGCACGAGGUUACAGUUAGGAGCAAGAAAUUGUGGUGUGCUACUGCAGUGUAUCUGCGUCGCUGUAAAUAAGCAAUUUUGUACUGUAUGUCUCCAGAAAUAAGAUGAAAAGAUAUGGUGAAUGUUUGAGAAAAUAGGUAUGUCUAUCCGAUUUAAAUUUAACACAAUGUAUAUGUGUGUCAAAACAUCAUAUAAAUAUGUGUUCUAUAAUUUUAUGAACCAGUUAAAAAGUAAAUUUAAAUUUAAAAAAUACAGAAAGCUCAUAAGAUUAGCAGGGAAAAUUGUAAUAAAAGAAGGGUGUGGAUUGUAAUAGAAGCAUGAGUAUGGAGAGAAGCUGACAUAUGCAUUACAAAGGUAUCUGAAGGACAUGUGGGGUCCCAGGUGGUAGAUGGGUCACUUGGGCCAGGUGGUCCUCAUCUUGCAGAGCUCACGAGAGUCUGGAGUCUCCAGCCUGGUCACAGGUCAGCCCCAUCUGCCUCAGGUGUGAUGUCUAAAGUCCAAAGGCAAGGGGACCACACACAAAGGCCACAUGCUGCAGGAUUCCAUCUGCAGGGAAUGAUCAGGAGAGGUGGAGAGAGAGAAGGAGGGAGAGGAGAGGGAGAGACAUCUGUGGUGUCAGGGACUGGAAAGGUAGAGCGGGUGUAGGCACGUAGAUACAGCUGUAAUGAUUUGUCAGGUUCAUUUUAGGGUGCUGGACAUAGGUGAAAUCGGUAGAGGUGGUAGUUGCAAAGCACUGUGAAUAUCUUAAGCCAAAGAAUGGACUAGUUUUGAAAAUGGUUAAUUUUAUGCUAUGUAAAUUUCACUUCAAUUACUAAGAAAAAAAAAAGGCAGAAUAAGCAAAACAAAAAAGGUACAUGCCCACUGCCUAGUGGAUGAAUAGUUAAAAAACCCCCAAACUCCCAACACAGCCUCCUUACUUUGACUGAAUACAAAGCUGGGGCUCUCGGCGC